UGGGGAAUUUUGGACAAUGGGCGCAAGCCUGAUCCAGCGACGCCGCGUGGAGGACGAAGGCCUUCGGGUUGUAAACUCCUUUUGGAGGGGAAGAAUAAAUUGACGGUACCCUCAGAAAAAGCCACGGCUAACUACGUGCCAGCAGCCGCGGUAAUACGUAGGUGGCGAGCGUUACUCGGAAUUACUAGGCGUAAAGCGUAUGUAGGUGGUUAGAUAAGUCUAUGGUGAAAUUUCCUGGCUUAACUGGGAAGGGACGUAGAUACUAUCUGGCUUGAGUGUGGGAGGGGGAGACGGAAUUCCUGGUGUAGCGGUGAAAUGCGUAGAUAUCAGGAGGAACACCGAUGUCGAAAGCAGUCUCCUGGCCCAAUACUGACACUGAGGUACGAAAGCUAGGGUAGCAAACA
rnacentral:rRNA from 1 species